UACGUCGGGCGCAAGCGUUGUCCGGAAUUAUUGGGCGUAAAGAGCUCGUAGGCGGCUUGUCACGUCGGGUGUGAAAGCCCGGGGCUUAACCCCGGGUCUGCAUUCGAUACGGGCUAGCUAGAGUGUGGUAGGGGAGAUCGGAAUUCCUGGUGUAGCGGUGAAAUGCGCAGAUAUCAGGAGGAACACCGGUGGCGAAGGCGGGUCUCUGGGCCGAUACUGACGCUGAGGAGCGAAAGCGUGGGGAGCGAACAGG
rnacentral:rRNA from 1 species